AGAGUUUGAUCCUGGCUCAGGACGAACGCUGGCGGCGUGCCUAAUACAUGCAAGUCGAGCGAAUGAUAGGGAGCUUGCUCCCUUGAUUUAGCGGCGGACGGGUGAGUAACACGUGGGCAACCUACCUGUAAGACUGGGAUAACUUCGGGAAACCGGAGCUAAUACCGGAUAAUUUCUUUUCUCGCAUGAGAAGAGAUGGAAAGACGGUUUCGGCUGUCACUUACAGAUGGGCCCGCGGCGCAUUAGCUAGUUGGUGAGGUAAUGGCUCACCAAGGCCACGAUGCGUAGCCGACCUGAGAGGGUGAUCGGCCACACUGGGACUGAGACACGGCCCAGACUCCUACGGGAGGCAGCAGUAGGGAAUCUUCCGCAAUGGACGAAAGUCUGACGGAGCAACGCCGCGUGAACGAAGAAGGCCUUCGGGUCGUAAAGUUCUGUUGUUAGGGAAGAACAAGUACCAGAGUAACUGCUGGUACCUUGACGGUACCUAACCAGAAAGCCACGGCUAACUACGUGCCAGCAGCCGCGGUAAUACGUAGGUGGCAAGCGUUGUCCGGAAUUAUUGGGCGUAAAGCGCGCGCAGGUGGUUCCUUAAGUCUGAUGUGAAAGCCCACGGCUCAACCGUGGAGGGUCAUUGGAAACUGGGGAACUUGAGUGCAGAAGAGGAAAGUGGAAUUCCACGUGUAGCGGUGAAAUGCGUAGAGAUGUGGAGGAACACCAGUGGCGAAGGCGACUUUCUGGUCUGUAACUGACACUGAGGCGCGAAAGCGUGUGGAGCGAACAGGAUUAGAUACCCUGGUAGUCCACGCCGUAAACGAUGAGUGCUAAGUGUUAGAGGGUUUCCGCCCUUUAGUGCUGCAGCUAACGCAUUAAGCACUCCGCCUGGGGAGUACGGCCGCAAGGCUGAAACUCAAAGGAAUUGACGG
rnacentral:rRNA from 1 species